UCCCCUCUCCUUCAGUGUGUGUCCGUGGUCAAACCUGCAACAGAGUGACUUACACUGACAGAAGCAUCUGUGCCUUCAAAGGCUCAUCAGUGGACAUUUCUUGUACUUACAACAGUUAUGACACAGAUAUCAGAUCUAAAUUCUGGUUCAGUCCUGAACGUAGUCUUCAGUGGCAGAAUCCCUCACAGCCUGAGGACCUUAGUGAAGACUCCCAGCAUGCAGGUCGUGUUCAGGUCCUUGAAACAGAGAGAGGACGCUCCACUCUGAGAAUCACUGACCUGAGAGAGAGCGACUCAGCUGAGUAUCACUUCACAUUCACAGCAGGAAGCUUUGAAUGGAGGAGUAGUUUACCUGGUACAACUCUGACUGUCACAGAUCGAGAUCUCCAGGUUCAGGUGAUCAGAUCAACAGACCACACAUAUAAUCAGGCAGAGCUGCUUUGUCACAGCAGCUGUCGUCUACCUGAUCAUUCUUCCUACGUCUGGUACAAGAAUGGACAGAAAAUUCAGAGAGAAACAUCUUUUUAUUCAGUCAGCAGUUAUUCUGCAGACAGUUAUUCCUGUGCUUUGAAAGGACUGGAGGGUUUCCCCUCUCCUUCAG